CCGUUCCAGUUUUUAAAUCCUGAGUCAAGCCAAAAGAAAACCCCAGCCACAAAAAAACAAAUAAAGUCACACCAAUCUCAUCUUGUUUUCAGUGCAAGUUAGGUUUUGUCAGAGGCCCAGGAAAUCGAGGCUGCAGUGAGCUGAGAUUGCACCACUGCCAGCUUCAUCCAUGUCCCUACAAAGGACAUGAACUCAUCAUUUUUUAUGGCUGCAUAGUAUUCCAUGGUGUAUAUGUUUCACAUUUUCUUAAUCCAGUCUAUCAUUGAUGGACAUUUGGGUUGGUUCCAAGUCUUUGCUAUUGUGAAUAGUGUGUCUUUAUAGCAGCAUGAUUUAUAAUCCUUUGGGUAUAUAGCCAGUAAUGGGAUGGCUGGGUCAAAUGGUAUGUCUAAUUCUAGAUCCUUGAGGAAUUGCCACACUGUCUUCCACAAUGGUUGAACUAGUUUACAGUCCCACCAACGGUGUAAAAGUGUUCCUAUUUCUCCACAUCCUCUCCAGCACCUGUUGUUUCCUAACUUUUUAAUGAUCGCCAUUCUAACUGGUGUGAGAUGGUAUCUCAUUGUGGUUUUGAUUUGCAUUUCUCUGAUGACCAGUGAUGAUGAGCAUUUUUUCAUGUGUCUGUUGACUACAUAAAUGUCUUCUUUUGAGAAGUGUC
rnacentral:lncRNA from 1 species